rnacentral:rRNA from 1 species
UACGUAGGGUGCAAGCGUUGUCCGGAAUUAUUGGGCGUAAAGAGCUCGUAGGCGGUUUGUCGCGUCUGCUGUGAAAACUCGGGGCUUAACUCCGGGCCUGCAGUGGGUACGGGCAGACUAGAGUGCGGUAGGGGAGACUGGAAUUCCUGGUGUAGCGGUGAAAUGCGCAGAUAUCAGGAGGAACACCGGUGGCGAAGGCGGGUCUCUGGGCAGUAACUAACGCUGAGGAGCGAAAGCGUGGGGAGCGAACAGG